GGAGCUAAUACCGGAUAAUAUAUUGAACCGCAUGGUUCAAUAGUGAAAGACGGUUUUGCUGUCACUUAUAGAUGGAUCCGCGCCGCAUUAGCUAGUUGGUAAGGUAACGGCUUACCAAGGCAACGAUGCGUAGCCGACCUGAGAGGGUGAUCGGCCACGCUGGAACUGAGACACGGUCCAG
rnacentral:rRNA from 1 species